GACGAACGCUGGCGGCGUGCUUAACACAUGCAAGUCGAACGGAAAGGCCCUGCUUUUGUGGGGUGCUCGAGUGGCGAACGGGUGAGUAACACGUGAGUAACCUGCCCUUGACUUUGGGAUAACUUCAGGAAACUGGGGCUAAUACCGGAUAGGAGCUCCAGCUGCAUGGUGGGGGUUGGAAAGUUUCGGCGGUUGGGGAUGGACUCGCGGCUUAUCAGCUUGUUGGUGGGGUAGUGGCUUACCAAGGCUUUGACGGGUAGCCGGCCUGAGAGGGUGACCGGCCACAUUGGGACUGAGAUACGGCCCAGACUCCUACGGGAGGCAGCAGUGGGGAAUAUUGCACAAUGGGCGGAAGCCUGAUGCAGCAACGCCGCGUGCGGGAUGACGGCCUUCGGGUUGUAAACCGCUUUCGCCUGUGACGAAGCGUGAGUGACGGUAAUGGGUAAAGAAGCACCGGCUAACUACGUG
rnacentral:rRNA from 1 species